rnacentral:rRNA from 1 species
GACAGAGGGUGCAAACGUUGUUCGGAAUUACUGGGCGUAAAGCGUGUGUAGGCGGUCUGCUAAGUCGGGUGUGAAAGCCCUGGGCUCAACCCAGGAAGUGCACUCGAAACUGGCAGGCUAGGAGUACUGGAGAGGUUGGUGGAAUUCUCGGUGUAGAGGUGAAAUUCGUAGAUAUCGAGAGGAACGACCAGUGGCGAAGGCGACUACCUGGCCUGUUCUUGACGCUGAGGCGCGAAAGCUAGGGGAGCAAACAGG